UACGUAGGUGGCAAGCGUUAUCCGGAAUUAUUGGGCGUAAAGAGCGCGCAGGUGGUUAAUUAAGUCUGAUGUGAAAGCCCACGGCUUAACCGUGGAGGGUCAUUGGAAACUGGUUGACUUGAGUGCAGAAGAGGGAAGUGGAAUUCCAUGUGUAGCGGUGAAAUGCGUAGAGAUAUGGAGGAACACCAGUGGCGAAGGCGGCUUCCUGGUCUACAACUGACACUGAGGCGCGAAAGCGUGGGGAGCAAACAGG
rnacentral:rRNA from 1 species